rnacentral:misc_RNA from 2 species
ACACCUCAACUCUCAUGGCUUGCCAUGAUGAGCUUGGACCUUGGGGGUCUUGCUGGCACAUGUUGGUCAGCUCCUCUCAAAUGAAUCAGCUUGCCGGUGUUUGGUGGCGUCACAUGUGUGAUAAAUAUCUAUGCUUGUGGCUUUCCACCAGGUAACCUUCAGCAAUGGAGGUUCGCCGGAGCUCAUAAAUGUCUCUCCUCAGUGAGGACAGAUUUUGACA